CAGCAGCCGCGGUAAUUCGGAGGGGGCUAGCGUUGUUCGGAAUUACUGGGCGUAAAGCGCACGUAGGCUGCUUUGUAAGUUAGAGGUGAAAGCCUGGUGCUCAACACCAGAACUGCCUUUAAGACUGCAGAGCUAGAACGUCGGAGAGGUGAGUGGAAUUCCGAGUGUAGAGGUGAAAUUCGUAGAUAUUCGGAAGAACACCAGUGGCGAAGGCGGCUCACUGGACGACUGUUGACGCUGAGGUGCGAAAGCGUGGGGAGCAAACAGGAUUAGAUACCCCCGUAGUCCCUGUCUCUUAUAC
rnacentral:rRNA from 1 species